CCUUUCUGGUUCACUGAUCAUGGGCCUGCUAUGUUCCCCGAGGCAAUAAAUAGCAGUGUGGACUGCCCAGAAUGGAGACCUCUGCCUGUCUUGCCAGCCCAGAAGCCUCAAGCCUCCUAAUCUUCCCCUGAGCAUCCAGCUUUCAUGAAGCUCAUUCUCCUGAUGUUGGCUGUUGCCCUGCUCCUGGUCCAGGUCACCCAAGCCAUGUCUUGCUGGGGUAAGUUGGGAAGGUGCAGAGCAACGUGUGAGAAGAAUGAAGUAUUUCAUAUAUUGUGCACCAAUGAAGCUAAGUGUUGUGUACACCCCAAGCAUGUGCCUAUUGGAGCUGGAUCCUCAAGCGCACCUGAAAGCCUGGGGCCAGCACUGCUGGUAGAACUUUCUGCAAUGAUGGAGUGUCCCAGCUCUGUGUUGUCUAAUAUGGUAACUACUAGCCAGAAGUGGCUAUUGAGCAUUUGAGAUGUGGCUAGUGAGUAAGUGCGGGUCUCUACCUGUUGCACCCUUGUUCGAAAUGCAAAAGCCAACCCCAAAAACGUUCCAGAUGUCCAUCAGUAGGGAAAAGAAGGAUCUAUGCUAGUGACUACUACAUAUCACUGAAAAAAGAUGAUGUAAACAUACCUGACUCCAAAAGACCUAUUGUGGGAUGAAAAAAGAAAGACAUUCCCUGAAAUGGAAAACAAAACAUCAACUAAUAUUAUAUGUUUUCUAAAGGCAUUAAGCUCCAUGAGGACAUUAAAGAAGAAGAAGAAGAAGAAGAAGAAGAAGAAGAAGAAGAAGAAGAAGAAGAAGAAGAAGAAGAAGAAGAAGAAGAAAAGAAGAAGAAGAAGAAGGAGGAGGAGGGGGAAAAGAAACAUGGCUAGUUGUAACUGGGGAAUUGAAUAUUUAAUUUAAUUUAAUCUAUACUUGAGUUUAUAUAGCUAAAGGUGGGUAGUGGUUAUCAUAUUGGACACUGUAGAUUUAGGGUCUUGAGAUACAGACUGCUUCCUUUUCUCUAGUUUCAUCCCAAAAGGCUGCAACCCUCCCCUGAUAAGACUUGCAGUUCUCCUGUUAGGGGUUCCAGGAUUGUGUCUCACAGUUUUCUUCAAGCUGCAGAGAGCUGGUACCAGGCUUCAUGUGGGUUCCUGCUCCAUGUCUUUCCUUUCCUCCCAGUUGAGGCCUCAUGAUACUGAAUUGUGAGCUAGUCUUUUUCUAGGACUGAUCCUGAACUGAGACAAUGAGGAUCUUCCCAUCACCAGCCCCAUGAUUUGAGUCAUGGUCUCAAGUAUUCCCAACCCUUGCUGCUUAUCUGACUAAUCAUAAAGGACUUGAUUCUCUAUUCUGAAUUGAGAGGUUCUAUUCAGCAUUACCUCCUCACCAUCCAGUCCCUUCAUAUGAGAACACUAAACUGGCCUCAGCCAGUUUUGAAGGUCUCCGUUCAAAUCCGUGAUCAUAUAUCUGCUGCGUGAUGCUAGGCAAAGUCAUUUAACCCUCUCUGUUUUAUCUUCUCAUCUCUAAAGUGAGGAUUCAUUCUGCCCGAGGCACAGGAUUGUCGUAAGAUUAAAUGAAAUAUUUAGGUAGGAAAUGCCCAGCAUAGACGGUAGUGCACAUUCGAUCCUGAUAGGACUUUGAAUGCCCUCCUCUUCCCUUCUCAUAUCAGGUCUGCCAUCUUGGCCCCUUGAAUGUUCCUUGGCAAUGCCUUUGUACACACCCUAUUAUUUCCCACUGUUUUCAGGGCUGCUGUCUCCACUCAGUCCUUCCUUGGCAUCCUCCUUCUUCUUUCUCACACUCUAGGCUUUCUACCUUGAGUUUUGCUGCUGAUCUUUUCAUCUCCCUCACAGGUCAGAUUGUCCCACAUCCUGGCACCCAAUUUCACAAGGGUUCCUUAUGGCAUACGGCAACAUUCUUCAACAUAUUUGAUGAUAACAUACCUUAAACAUGUCAUUGGACGUAAUGAUUUGAGUUCAUCAGAGACAAAGUUAAACAGAAAGGGCCUUUCUUGGAAGGAUCCCAUGUAGCUCAUAAAACCUAUAGGUAGUCUAGACAAUUGAGCUUGAAGGACCAAGGGAGAGUGAGCUGCAGAAGUAAUCUACUGGGAUCCCACCAGAGCAUUGCCAUCCUGGCACUGGACAUCUGGAGUCUUGCCUGGACUUCUCCCACAGUGGCUUCUGCCUGCUGGAUACCAUGUGAGUAUUGUCUCCAUCUUCUCUGUGGUUUGAAUUUAGUCCUUUAGGAUUCAACGUUCUUUGCUGGAGCAUCCAGUUGGCUGAGCCUGGGUUAUAUGCCUGCCCACUAACUCUUGAAGUGGGGCAAAAUAAUAUUUGCCUUUAGUGUUUUCUGUAGUAGGACAUCAGCCCUCCUUUCCAUCAAAAGCCAAAGAAUGGAAAGUUUCUCAGAAGCUGAGUGUCUGAAGAUGCUGCAAGUGAUCCCUACCAGGGAAUCUUACCCCAAGCCUUUGCCUUCACUUGGAAUGUUUCUUUUCCACUUUGACCUUUCUGACCGCCACAUCCUUGAUUAGGUGAGCAGGGGGAGGUGUUAUGGUGUAACAUAGAAGGGGGCACUCAGGGAUCCCUGGGUGGCGCAGCGGUUUGGCGCCUGCCUUUGGCCCAGGG